rnacentral:rRNA from 1 species
AUUGAACGCUGGCGGCAGGCCUAACACAUGCAAGUCGAGCGAGCGGCGGACGGGUGAGUAAUGUAUGGGGACUGCCCGAUAGAGGGGGAUAACUACUGGAAACGGUAGCUAAUACCGCAUACUAUCGGAUAACCCAUAUGGGAUUCGCUAGUAGGUGAGGUAAUGGCUCACCUAGGGGACGAUCCCUAGCUGGUCUGAGAGGAUGAGCAGCCACAGUGGGACGGAGACACGGCCCAGACUCCUACGGAGGCAGCAGUGGGGAAGAUUGCACAAUGGGCGCAAGCCUGAUGCAGCCAUGCCGCGGGUAUGAAGAAGGCCCUAGGGUUGUAAAGUACUUUCAGUCGGGAGGCGUUACCGACAGAAGAAGCACCGGCUAACUCCGUGCCAGCAGCCGCGGUAAUUC